rnacentral:rRNA from 1 species
GACGAACGCUGGCGGCGUGCUUAACACAUGCAAGUCGAGCGGUAAGGCCCUUUCGGGGGUACGACGAGCGGCGAACGGGUGAGUAGCACGUGGGUGGACCUGCCUUUAGUCUCUGGGAGUAAGCCUGGGAAACGUGGGUCGUAAUACCGGAUAUGACCCUAUGGCGCAUGUUGUGGGGUGGAAAGCCUUGUGCGGCUAGGGAUGGGCCCGGCGGCCUAUCAGCUUGUUGGUGGGGUGAUGGCCACCAAGGCGACGACGGGUAGCCGGCCUGAGAGGGCGACCGGCCACACUGGGACUGAGACACGGCCCAGACUCCUACGGGAGGGCAGCAGUGGGGAAUCUUGCGCAAUGGGCGAAAGCCUGACGCAGCGACGCCGCGUGAGGGAUGA